rnacentral:rRNA from 1 species
ACUGAACGCUGGCGGCAGGCUUAACACAUGCAAGUCGAGCGGAGUGAUGGUGCUUGCACUAUCACUUAGCGGCGGACGGGUGAGUAAUGCUUAGGAAUCUGCCUAUUAGUGGGGGACAACAUCUCGAAAGGGAUGCUAAUACCGCAUACGUCCUACGGGAGAAAGCAGGGGAUCACUUGUGACCUUGCGCUAAUAGAUGAGCCUAGGUCGGAGUAGCUAGUUGGUGGGGUAAAGGCCUACCAAGGCGACGAUCUGUAUCGGGUCUGAGAGGAUGCACCGCCACACUGGGACUGAGACACCGCCCAGAAUCCUACGGGAGGCAGCAGUGGGGAAUAUUGGACAAUGGGGGGAAACCUGAUCCAGCCAUGCCGCGUGUGUGAAGAAGGCCUUAUGGUUGUAAAGCACUUUAAGCGAGGAGGAGGCUCUUUUGGUUAAUACCCAAGAUGAGUGGACGUUACUCGCAGAAUAAGCACCGGCUAACUCUGUGCCAGCCGCCGCAGUAA